UGGCUUUGGUGUCAUCGGCCUUGCGAUGGUGGAGCGUCCGUCGUGAGCCCCCCGCUGCAUGGGGAGGACACCCCUUAGCUGGGAGGCGGAGACGGGACCCCCGUUGACGUCAGAGGGCCUGUCUGUUUCCUGCAAUAGAAAGUGAGAGAGAAGGUGAAGGGAGAAAAUACAGAGCUGUACCCCCCCUCCUCCUCCUUACACUAAAAGGUGUGUUACAACCCUGCACCUAUGUACCCAGACUGUGGCUCAGGAGUCAACUCCUCUCAAGGUCCAACGUUAGAGUUUCCCCAAGAUGCACCUGUGAACUGAGGGCGGAAAAGAUGCCUCGCACCAAGCAGAACAACCCGAAAAACUUAAAGGACACAGUUCAUCAUCUCUCCUGCACUCGAGGCUUUUCCUUCAUCAGACAGGAAAUGAUGAUUGCGUGGCAUGCCAUCACAUGCUUAAACUCUGCUGCGGAGAAUGUCUUUUCCUGGGAACUCUCGUCAUGCUGCCCUGAAGCCAUCACAUUAUGAUUCUGAAUGCCCAAGACUGACUUUAAAAAAACUCUGCGCUUGAAGCUAAAUAAGCCUUUUCCACAGUAUUUGCUUUGUUUCAUAACAAAGCAGUAAUUAAUCCCAGCACAGAGGCACUCGUGGUAUGUACUUCAGUAUACAGAGUUUUGGCUGGAUGUUGGGAAGCCUCGGCUCUUCUCGGGUCAUCCCUGCCUCCGAGGCUUGGCAGCAGAGUGACUCUGGUAGAAAAGAAACCACAUUAACAUUUUCCCUCUCGGUCAUAUGAAAUCUGACUCGACAAACUUUGUUCUGUCGGGGGACACAAAUAAUUAAUUGUUAUAUUAACAGCACUCAGCCGGGUCGGGACGGUGUAAUCUAAGUUAUAUUUCAGGCCCUAGUUUGUUGCUCUGUUGUAUUGAACUACAUUAUACAAAGGGAACAUAUUUAAAACUAUUUCUUAAGUUUGUCAAAGUAAAAUGAUAUUUUAUAAAUUAGUUUAGUUGUUUUUAUUAUUUUCUUAAGUUGAUUGCAGGUCUAUUGUAUCAGCACACAGCUUCUUAACCUCUCUGCAACAUUUUUGCCUCCACAGUGAAUGUAAUAAUCUCAGUUUUGGCUACAACCAACAGUUAUCGAUGCAUCAAUUUAUUGUUUUCGUCUAUACAAUGUCAGACAAUAGAGAAAAGUAUUUGCUUAUAAUUGCCCACAGCCCAUCGUGAUGUAUUAAAUGUUUUGUUUUGUCCGACCAACGGUCCAAAACCCAAAUAUAUUCAGUUUACUGUCAUACAAGACUAAAAAAACAGCAUAUUUUCACAUUUUCACAUUUUCACACAGCUUGAACCUGCUUGAAUAUUGAUUUAAAAGAUGACUCAAUUAUUAAAAUUGCUGCAGAAUAAGUUUCAACUUGUGAGCCUCAGAUGUGUUAUCUGAUGUGUAACAUUUUAUUAAACCAUGAUAUCAUAAAUUCAUUAAUUGGAAAGAAGUUAUGGGUUAUUCAAAGAUGUAUACUUUUAGUCACUGUGGCAAGGAGACGUGUUAAUUCAAACAUCACGAAGUGAAGUUCAAAGCGCUUUACAUGACCAC
ensembl:lncRNA